CUAGCUCUGAUUCGCCUUCUGUUAAGUCAAAGGGGGCCUGGUUAGUUUCUGCUAGGGUACAGAUAAAUCAUAUUAUUGCUAGGGGUCAUGAGGGUAAAAUAA